rnacentral:rRNA from 1 species
CCUACGGGAGGCAGCAGUAGGGAAUAUUGCUCAAUGGGGGAAACCCUGAAGCAGCAACGCCGCGUGGAGGAUGAAGGUUUUCGGAUUGUAAACUCCUUUUGUUAGAGAAGAUAAUGACGGUAUCUAACGAAUAAGCACCGGCCAACUCCGUGCCAACAGCCGCGGUAAUACGGAGGGUGCAAGCGUUACUCGGAAUCACUGGGCGUAAAGGGCGCGUAGGCGGGAUAGCAAGUCAGAUGUGAAAUCCUAUGGCUUAACCAUAGAACUGCAUUUGAAACUGUUAUUCUAGAGUAUGGGAGAGGUAGGUGGAAUUCUUGGUGUAGGGGUAAAAUCCGUAGAGAUCAAGAGGAAUACUCAUUGCGAAGGCGACCUGCUAGAACAUAACUGACGCUGAUGCGCGAAAGCGUGGGGAGCAAACAGGAUUAGAUACCCGGGUAGUC